UGUUGCAUAACCUUUCUCAGUUUUGGUCGUAGGAAGAGACACUACUUCAAAUCCAACGCUAACAUCACCAAUUACAACAUGAGUGAGAUGAUAAAAGGAAAUAGGCUAUGAAGCAACAAUAAAACCCUGUCUCUCGGUGCCAAAAAAGAUCUUUCAUUCACGGGGAUCAGUACUAGAUUCACCACUACCAUCGCCGUUAAUCCAAUAUGGACCAAUGUCACUUCCAGGAACUCUUAGAAAAAAUGAGGAAAGAGAAAAUCCGUUUUUUUCUCUAGGUUUUCUUUUUUUAGGUUUUCAAAAUCUUUUGAUUCACGAUGAAGGAGAAUCAUCCAUUAGUUCUUGCCAAUGUUAAUGGUGAAUCUUCUGAUUCACAUGCUAAACUUCAUGAGAAUAAAGUCGAGUCUUUUGCUGAUCUGGUCAAGGGAAAAAAACCCUAUAUGUUAACAGAUUCAGAUCCCACUUCUCUUCCUGAUGCUACCAUUUUUUGUGAUGAACCAGCGUUGGAUCUACCUCUUUAUUUUACACAAGAGGGGAAAGAUAUGUUUCUGGAAACUUGGUGAUGGAAGGUGCAAGUUAGUUCCUAUGAAAAAGGGUUUUUUCAUCAUUAAGCUAUCUACUGCUGAAGAUAAGGAACGAGUUUGCCAUGGAGAUUCAUGGGUGGUUCAGAAACAAACUCAUAGGCUUUUGAAUUUUCCCCCAAUUUUUAUCCGGAAAGACAAAGCACAUCUCACGCUUCAGUUUGGAAAUCCAAGAUAUGGAGAAGAUUAAUUUUUGUACCCACUGUAAAUUUAUGGGUCACAAAUUUGAGAACUGUCUUGCAGCUCGUAAAAUAUUGGGGGGUCCUGUUUUAUAUGGUGCUUCUUUUGAGACUCGGAUUCUGAAUCAAAAGUGCAAGGAAGGUAGCUCUGAGGCUUUAAAAAGUGAAGGUCAUAAUCAAAAUUCAAAGUACGCUUGGAAGGAAGUGAAGAGUAGAAAGAAAAAUAUGCAUGGAAACAAAAAUUUGCAAGGAAGCGUCAGUUCUGGGAAUGGUGAUGCUGGUAGUGGUGUAGUCAAUGAUGGGUAGUUAAACAAAGCCAAACAUGUUGCUGCUACGUUGGAGGAAAUUUCAACACCUUUGGUUGCUGGUAAGGUGGAUGAUUUUUCAACACCUUUGGUUAAUGAAUUGCUUAGCUCUGAACCGGUUUUCUCAAAAAAUAAACAUGAAAAUUUUAGUGCAGAACUGGGUUUAAGAGAUAAGGAGGAGAACAUUAAUAUAGUAGAUAGUGAGGAGUUGGAUGAACAAUCUGAAGGUAAUUCUGCUUUGGAAGCUGUGGUUAUGGCAGAGGAGGUUAAAAACUCAAAGGAAUGGGGUAUUGUUUCAGAUGUUAAGGGAGCAGUAAAUUCAAAAAAGGGGUUUGAAUGUGAGAGAUUCUGUGAUUAGCUCGGAAAGUUUAGGUAAUCAAACUCUGGGAAAAGACGUUUCUAGCUCGGACAUGGGUACGGUCAGCGAUAAUAAUGUAGAGAAUUAAUGUGGCAAAGAAAUCCGGUCAUAUCUCGGAUUUAGUAUCCUGUUCUAAUAAGGAAUCCCAGUUUGUUUCUAGUAUGGCUGAAGCGGGUAAAAACAACACUUUAAAUGUGGAAGACUCUACUGGCCAUGAAAAUAUGUUGGUGGAAAGUAGUGGGCCUCCGGCAUGUAACAAAAAUUAUCAUACGGCCACUGAUGUUGGGUAUGUGGAAGCUAAUGAAAACCAAACGGGAAUUAUUGACAAACCUAAAAAUGAUGCAGGCACGGGCAGUGCUAAUUCUGAAGGCACUACAGAGCCAAAAGAAUUGGGUUCAGAUGUAGCAAUCUCCGGGCUUGCUAAUAAUCCCAAUGAAAAUUCAAUGGGCGGUGACAAUUUGGUCUUACAAGAUGGUACGGGAUCUGUUUUGGACAAUAAGGAGGUUUCAAGUACUUAUACAGGGAAUAUUUCUAAGAGGAUGAAACUACAAUGGAAGAGCUACAAGCAAAGAAGAAUGCUUUCCGUGCAAGAUUGGAUGCUAUGAAAUCUCAACGGGAAGUUUCACUACUAGCCAUGGCCAUGUUAGAAAGUCGCACUGCUUUGGAGGGGAACAUCUUGGAUGAUAAAACUGUGGAUGUAAAUAGUUUGGGCGAUUUUUACCUGGUAAUUAUGCUUCGGAUGAAGAUGAGGAGGGCGAUUUUUAUGAAGAUUAUGAGGGUUCAGAUAUUAUGCCUAUCAUAAAGCAAAAGCAAAACCAUAUAGAGGACGUUGAUAACUUCCUUUUCUUUUCUUUUAGGAGAUGUUUUUUUUUUCCUUUUGGAGUUUUCUUACGAGACUAUUUGAGUUUUUUCAUUUACCCCUUUGGUUUAUAGGAUGGGGGCCCUUUGAGCCCCUUUGUAAUUCUUGUAAUUACAUUUUUUACUUCAAUAAACUUUUGGACUUGGCAGAAAAACGA